rnacentral:rRNA from 1 species
CACGUAGGCACCAAGCGUUGUCCGGAUUUAUUGGGCGUAAAGAGCUCGUAGGCGGUUCAGUAAGUCGGGUGUGAAAACUUUGGGCUUAACCCAAAGCGUGCAUCCGAUACUGCUGUGACUUGAGUUCGGUAGGGGAGUGGGGAAUUCCUAGUGUAGCGGUGAAAUGCGCAGAUAUUAGGAGGAACACCGGUGGCGAAGGCGCCACUCUGGGCCGAAACUGACGCUGAGGCGCGAAAGCGUGGGGAGCAAACAGG